GAUGAACGCUGGCGGCGUGCCUAAUACAUGCAAGUCGAGCGAACAGACGAGGAGCUUGCUCCUCUGACGUUAGCGGCGGACGGGUGAGUAACACGUGGAUAAUCUACCUAUAAGACUGGGAUAAAUUCGGGAAACCGGAGCUAAUACCGGAUAAUCUAUUGAACCGCAUGGUUCAAUAGUGAAAGACGGUUUUGCUGUCACUUAUAGAUGGAUCCGCGCCGCAUUAGCUAGUUGGUAAGGUAACGGCUUACCAAGGCAACGAUGCGUAGCCGACCUGAGAGGGUGAUCGGCCACACUGGAACUGAGACACGGUCCAGACUCCUACGGGAGGCAGCAGUAGGGAAUCUUCCGCAAUGGGCGAAAGCCUGACGGAGCAACGCCGCGUGAGUGAUGAAGGUCUUCGGAUCGUAAAACUCUGUUAUUAGGGAAGAACAAAUGUGUAAGUAACUAUGCACGUCUUGACGGUACCUAAUCAGAAAGCCACGGCUAACUACGUG
rnacentral:rRNA from 1 species